rnacentral:rRNA from 1 species
GAUGAACGCUGGCGGCGUGCCUAAUACAUGCAAGUCGAGCGAACAGACGAGGAGCUUGCUCCUCUGACGUUAGCGGCGGACGGGUGAGUAACACGUGGAUAACCUACCUAUAAGACUGGGAUAACUUCGGGAAACCGGAGCUAAUACCGGAUAAUAUAUUGAACCGCAUGGUUCAAUAGUGAAAGACGGUUUUGCUGUCACUUAUAGAUGGAUCCGCGCCGCAUUAGCUAGUUGGUAAGGUAACGGCUUACCAAGGCGACGAUGCGUAGCCGACCUGAGAGGGUGAUCGGCCACACUGGAACUGAGACACGGUCCAGACUCCUACGGGAGGCAGCAGUAGGGAAUCUUCCGCAAUGGGCGAAAGCCUGAAGGAGCAAAGCCGAGUGAGUGAUGAAGGUAUUCGGAUCGUAAAACUCUGUUAUUAGGGAAGAACAAAUGUGUAAGUAACUAUGCACGUCUUGACGGUACCUAAUCAGAAAGCCACGGCUAACUACGUG